rnacentral:rRNA from 1 species
UAGGGAAUAUUGCAAAAUGGGCGAAAGCCCGAUGCAGCAACGCCGCGUGGGCGAUGAAGGCCUUCGGGUCGUAAAGCCCUUUUUGAGGGGAUGAGGAAGGACAGUACCCUCAGAAUAAGCCUCGGCUAACUACGUGCCAGCAGCCGCGGUAAAACGUAGGAGGCGAGCGUUAUCCGGAUUUACUGGGCGUAAAGCGCGUGCAGGCGGAUUGGAGAGUUGGAUGUGAAAGCUCCCGGCUUAACUGGGAGAGGUCGUUCAAUACUUCCAGUCUUGAGUGAAGUAGAGGGAAGGGGAAUUCCGGGUGUAGUGGUGAAAUGCGUAGAUAUCCGGAGGAACACCAGUGGCGAAAGCGGCUUCCUGGACUGUAACUGACGCUCAGACGCGAAAGCUAGGGUAGCAAACG